rnacentral:rRNA from 1 species
UAAUCACUUGUCUUUUAAAUGAAGACCUGUAUGAAUGGCAUAACGAGGGUUUAACUGUCUCCUUCCCCCAGUCAAUGAAAUUGAUCUGCUCGUGCAGAAGCGGGCAUAUAAACAUGGGACGAGAAGACCCUGCGGAGCUUUAGGCUAAGGAUCAAACAUGUAAAACAGACUUCUCUCUAAAAAACUACUAGUCCCAGAACCAAUCGUAACAUGAUUCAAAUGCCUUCGGUUGGGGCGACCGCGGGGGAAAACAAAGCCCCCACAUGGAAUGAAGACACCUUCCAAACUAAGAAUAACAACUCGAAGUAACAGAACAUCUGCCCAAAAAUGACCCAGGAUAAACCAAACCUGAUCAAUGAACCAAGUUACCCCAGGGAUAACAGCGCAAUCCUUUCCCAGAGUCCA